UACGUAGGGGGCAAGCGUUGUCCGGAAUCACUGGGCGUAAAGCGCACGUAGGCGGCUUUGUAAGUUAGAGGUGAAAGCCCAGGGCUUAACCCUGGAAUUGCCUUUAAGACUGCAUCGCUAGAAUCGUGGAGAGGUGAGUGGAAUUCCGAGUGUAGAGGUGAAAUUCGUAGAUAUUCGGAAGAACACCAGUGGCGAAGGCGACUCACUGGACACGUAUUGACGCUGAGGUGCGAAAGCGUGGGGAGCAAACAGG
rnacentral:rRNA from 1 species